rnacentral:rRNA from 1 species
UACAGAGGUCUCAAGCGUUGUUCGGAUUCAUUGGGCGUAAAGGGUGCGAGUAGGCGGCGGCGGUAAGUCGGGUGUGAAAGUCUCGGAGCUUAACUCCGAAACUGCAAUUCGAUACUGCCGUGCUUGAGGACUGGAGAGGAGACUGGAAUUUACGGUGUAAGCUGGUGGAAAUGCGUAGGAUAAUCGUAAGGAAGACCAGUGGCUGAAAGGGACCGGG